rnacentral:rRNA from 1 species
ACUCCUACGGGAGGCAGCAGGGGGGACUACUACACGAGGCAGCAGUGGGGAAUAUUGCACAAUGGACGAAAGUAUGAUGCAGCAACGCCGCGUGGAGGAUGACACAUUUCGGUGCGUAAACUCCUUUAUAGGUCAAGAU